rnacentral:rRNA from 1 species
GAUGAACGCUAGCGGCAGGCUUAAUACUUGCAAGUCGAGGGGCAGCACAGGUAGCAAUACUGGGUGGCGACCGGCAAACGGGUGCGGAACACGUACACAACUUACCUUAGAGUGGGGGAUAGCCCAGGGAAACUUGGAUUAAUACCCCAUAAAACAGGGGGCCCGCAUGGGCAUAUUGUUAAAGAUUUAUCGCUUUAAGAUGGGUGUGCGUAUGAUUAGGUAGUUGGUAGGGUAAAGGCCUACCAAGCCGACGAUCAUUAACUGGUGUGAGAGCACGACCAGUCACACGGGCACUGAGACACGGGCCCGACUCCUACGGGAGGCAGCAGUAAGGAAUAUUGGUCAAUGGACGGAAGUCUGAACCAGCCAUGCCGCGUGAAGGAUGAAGGUCCUCUGGAUUGUAAACUUCUUUUAUAGGGGGCGAAAAAGGGCCAUUCUUGGUCAACUGACGGUACCCUAUGAAUAAGCACCGGCUAACUUCGUGCCAGCAGCCGCAGUAACAC